AUGAAUGGGGUUUCUGAAGGUCUGAUCAUCGGUACCACGGUUGGUGUGGUGAUAGGGGUGCUGCUGGCAGUUGGAAUACUCCUGUGCAUGAGGUAUCGGCGUUCUCAGGCGCAAAUAAGGAGCAGUAGCUCGAGGAGGUCAUCGACUAUCCCCAUCCGUGCAAAUGGUGUUAAUACAUGUGCAGAGCUGUCGAACUCAACUACAGGGCAGGAAUCGCCGAGAGAGUUUGAAGAUCGUGGACCAUCCCUGUGGAUUGAAGGACCUGGAAGGAAGAGCCUAAUAUCAGCUUCUGGGAUACCCAAAUAUGCGUACAAGGAACUGCAGAAAGCUACCAGCAAUUUCACAAAACUGUUGGGCCAAGGAGCCUUUGGUCCUGUUUACAAAGCUGACAUGUCAUCUGGUGAGAUAUUGGCUGUUAAAGUACUUGCUAACAAUUCAAAGCAAGGUGAAAAGGAGUUCCAAAAUGAGGUCUUACUUCUUGGGCGAUUGCACCACAGGAAUCUGGUGAACUUGGUUGGUUACUGUGCUGAAAAGGGGCAACACAUUCUGUUAUAUGCAUACAUGCCUAAUGGGAGCCUAGCAUCACACUUAUAUGGUGAAAACAGUGCACCACUGAGGUGGGAUUUGAGGGUAAAUAUAGCUCUAGAUGUUGCUAGGGGGUUGGAAUACCUACAUGAUGGGGCUGUUCCUCCGGUGGUUCAUCGAGACAUCAAAUCACCAAACAUUUUACUGGAUCAGUCCAUGCAUGCUAGGGUUGCCGACUUUGGAUUGUCAAGAGAAGAAAUGCUUACUAGAAACGGGGCCAACAUACGUGGAACUUAUGGAUAUCUUGAUCCGGAGUACGUGUCCUCACGAUCAUUCACAAAGAAGAGUGAUGUGUACAGCUACGGUGUUCUGCUAUUUGAACUGAUCGCUGGCAGAAACCCUCAACAAGGUUUAAUGGAAUAUGUUGAGCUUGCUGCAAUCAACGCUGAUGGCAAGACUGGGUGGGAGGAAAUUGCCGACUCUCGGUUAGAAGGCGCAUUUGACGUGGAGGAGCUCAAUGACAUGGCUGCCGCAGCUUACAAAUGUGUAAGCCGUGUCUCCCGAAAGCGACCAUCGAUGCGGGAUGUUGUCCAGGCACUGAUCCGGGUGGCAAAACACAGCCACAGUAGCAGGAACCAUCAUGGCAGGAGGCUUCCACCGGGCAGGACGGAUGACGAAUCUGUUGACCUUGAGGCAUCAGAGGGUCAGUCAUCUGCCUCUGGCCAUCAGAGACAGGAAUCGGUUGGCAGUGUCUCUGAACUUCCGGACGUCUGA
rnacentral:rRNA from 1 species